UACGUAGGGGUGCAAGCGUUAAUCGGAAUUACUGGGCGUAAAGCGUGCGCAGGCGGUUUUGUAAGUUUGUCGUGAAAUCCCCGGGCUCAACCUGGGAAUGGCGAUGAAGACUGCAAGGCUAGAAUCUGGCAGAGGGGGGUAGAAUUCCACGUGUAGCAGUGAAAAGUGCGUAGAGAUGUGGAGGAACACCGAUGGCGAAGGCAGCCCCCUGGGUCAAGAUUGAACGCU
rnacentral:rRNA from 1 species